UACGUAGGCAGCAAGCGUUGUUCGGAAUUACUGGGCGUAAAGAGUGUGUAGGCGGUGCCCUAAGUCUGUUGUGAAAUCUCCCGGCUUAACUGGGAGGGUGCGGCGGAAACUGGAGUGCUCGAGGGUGGGAGAGGUAAGCGGAAUUCCUGGUGUAGCGGUGAAAUGCGCAGAUAUCAGGAGGAACACCAAUGGCGAAGGCAGCUCGCUGGGACGUGACUGACGCUGAGACGCGAAAGCGUGGGGAGCAAACAGG
rnacentral:rRNA from 1 species